rnacentral:pre_miRNA from 1 species
UUAACUCAUAUUUGUAUGGAAUGGGAUCGUUUGCCUACGUUUGCCGCUAGGGGCGCUGUUCCAACUGCAUACAAAAUUGACUUA